UCCCAAGCUCCGCCGUCGCCUCUCGCCUCCGCCCGAUAUAGUCGAGGUCCUGAUCUCAGGCAGAAUGAGGUCCUCUUUACUUUGGAAACAGUUUUAGAUGUUUUUUCCAUAGUGCGCCGCUGUUCUGAGUUCUGUUUGCAGAGGCCAGUCGCUCAAUAUUUGAAUCACUCUCGACCUCCGCCGUAGCCUCCUUCCGCCCAAGACCAGCUGGGUCCCGAGCUCUGACCGCCAUUGCCCGAGAGCAAGCCGUCCGCCCGCCGAUCCAGAGCUCCGACCUCCGCCGUCCCCCGAGCGGUUUGCGGUAAUUCUGAUAUCAAAUCGACAGAUGUUUCUGCUUUUCAGUUUCUGUUAAUAGCUUGGUCAAACAUCCCUCCCUGUUCUUCGUAUGUUUCAUUUCUUCAAAGGAAUUGCUUUAACAUCAUUUGAAACACGGCACUAUCAAUGGACAGCAACAGGAAGAUCAGGAAAUCAUCUGAAUCAAAAUAAAAGAUACGACAACAUUUCAGGCUGACAUUAGAGCCGUCCUAAUUCUAGGCUUUUGUUUCUUCUCUUCAUCCCCAGAACAAGAAAAUUCUUGCAUAUGUGGGACAAUAUUCAUCAAAACCUGAUUUUUACUUUUUGUAGCCAACAAAGUGCAUACCGUGCUGGCUAUAAGAUUAAAAAUUGUUCAUUUGCCUUUUGGUAAUCUUAGUAGGCACCAUGUUGUGCCAUGAGAUCUUACUCUCCUAGUUCAGUUCUCCAAUUUCUUACAACAAUGGAUUUGUGUUCUGUAUUUAUAUGCAUAGACUGAGUUUCGAGAGUACACAAUAAAAUCUUGUUAUAUACCCCGUAACAAACAAUAACUAGAUUAUGGUGCCUAGAUUUACAUAGUAAUUCACCGAAUAGGUAAAUUAAAAUGCCUAAAACAUUUGGCAUCUAACAAUUUCUUUUUUUAAUUAUAUUUUCAAAAUAGACAUUUAGCAAUUUUGUUUUAUUUUGCUGCCUUCUUUGCCAUGUCUAAUACAUCCGGUCCAAUUUUGUCAUUAUCAUCUUUUCUUUAUCAGCUCCAUACGUCUCCUUCGGUUUUAGGGUAGUGUUCUACCAUUUAAUUAUUCUUUGACCUAAUGUUGCCCCCUGGAUGUCUUCAUCUUGCAGAAACAAAAGCUGCUCAAUGCUUGUCCUUUGGAAUUUGGCAUUGCGAAGAGAUUUUUGAAAUAUAUAUUGGAUCGUGAGUUACCGGUCAACGAGAUGCAUGCGUCUGGGAAAUUCUUGGUGUUUGGUGCACCAUUGGCGCUAACUAUGAUGAACUUAUUGUGGUUCGGAAAGAUCAUCAAGGGAUUGAAGAAGACUAUAGCAAAGAGGCAGUAAAAGGUGUAUAAGGUAUUCUGCAGGUCUAGCCAUUAGAGAGAAAUAGUUGAUCCACUCAUACCUGGCUUUCCCUUGUGUAAAAAAGUGGGAGGGAAAGAUAAAAAAGUUCAGGACCCCUUAGGUUAGAUGGAGAAAUUCGGAUCAUGGACUUGCUUGUAACAGCAUCUUCGGUGUCUGAAGUUUAAUCAUUUGGUUGCAUCACGAGCUCCACUUCUGAAUUAGAUGUAUAUAGUGUAAAGUACUUAUUUAUUUGGAUUUGAAUGGAGAUGAAGUUGCUGGAGAUCAAUGCAAUUACUGGUGAGUUCUUCUGCCUGAA